ensembl:lncRNA
CGUCAGAGGACAACACAUGCUAGAAGCCCUGAAGAAGAAGCUGCCAAACUCAUUAAAAAAGGUGGAGGGGGGAAAAGGGUGAUGCAGCCGUUCUGUGGGUGGACAGAGAGGAGGAGGCCUGUUUGAGCCACACCAGCUGGCUGAGAGGAGCUACAGCGGCGGUGUGGGGUGACCAGGCAGCAGCUUAGCUCCAGGAGGUGCUAAGCUAUAGAGGCUGAGCAACAGGAGCUAAGCAACAGGAGCCACGCUACAGGAGAUGAGCAACCGGGAGCUAAGCUACAGUUAGUAAGUUGCCGAUGCUGAGCUACAGGAGCUAAGCUACAUGAUAGUAAGGGGAUUUAAAGGGACACCAAUUAGUUUCGGACUCCAGGCCCUCUCCACACACAUGAUGAGCGAGCCUCAGAGUGAUAUGAUACUGUGUGUCUCUUAGCCUUCAUCUCCUUUACUAGACUCAGGGUAAAAUACCGUUACUGUUGUUGUGAUUUCUAAUUCAUGGGGAAGGUUUGUUUAUUUUAUAAGAGACAGGAGUGAGGGAUAAGGUUACGCUGUUUAACUUUGAGUCCAAGCCCCAAAAGGUUAUGGGUUCGACCCAAAAUGUCGGCAGCUUACCUUCAGACAUCCUUGAUCGCGGUGCCCUUACCACCACACAUCCAAACUUAAUCCAUCAUAAGUGGUUUAAGCAUAAUAACCAAAGUCUCAGUCUUUUAACACGGAAUCUAUUAAAACUUAAAUACCGCCCGGUCUCCCCUCAAAGACACUGUUAAUGCGGGUUAUGAGAGGCAACUCACUGAAGUUAUUUGCUAACGAAAGCUGCCUCACAAUUCAGGUUAAUGGAAAUGUCAAGCGGCUAAACGUUCCUUCACAGCGCGUUCAACUUCCUUUGUCCUCCAUGCAGUCAAGCAAGAGACUCAACAUUUAGACGGAGAGAUUAAAGAUGCGCCACACGGGCACGUCAGAUGCAUGCCUGUGUAACAACGCACAACUGUGUGUGUGUGUGUGUGCGCGUGCCUGUGUGUAUACAGUGUGUGCGUGCAUGCUUGUGCGUUUGCGCACGUGUUUGUGUGUUUGUUUAUAGAAAGAAUGGAAUAAGUAGGCCAAUGCAUAAAUGAACGUAGACACAAGACGCUAAAUGGUGUGAAGUCAGGGGCCGUGAAGAUACAACUAACUCAGGACGGAAGGGUGUUUUAGCGAAGGGGAAAGACUUGACUUGCCCUCACUCACUUCAUUUGAUGUACCAUGUUGUCUUGAAUCAGUUAUGUUUCAGCAUAUAUCAUUCAUUUCCAAACAUAACGCGGUCAUGUGCUGCAGUGCAUUCAAACCGGUAAGCGGUAAAGUUAAUCAGUGAUUAACUUUGGCUUGUAUAAAGCCUGUAGAAACUAUUCCUCCCCCCCUUAAGUAUUCUGCCUAAUUAGCAAGAUUAGAGAAAAAAUGGAGCUACACUCAAUUAUCAACAUAUCCAUCAUCACAAGCCCAGAAACCCUCUUGUGGACAGGGGGGGGAGUUAAUCUUUCUAUCCGCCUGAGGAAUCCAACAGCCUAAUGACUCAGUAACAAAGUCAGUUUAUAUUUAUCGUUUGUAUGUUUAAGCAGAUCUUGGCUGCAACAAUGUUGUGUAAUUGGUUGAUCACAUUAGCACAAGCGUACGCACACACACAAACACACACACACACACACACACACACACAUACAUAGAGCUGGAGUAAAAUCACUGUCAACAGUUAGUGACACAUGUGAACUGGGAGGGUUGUUUGAAGAUGGAAACAUAAAAGCCUGGGGUGAACAGGCAUCGUUGUGUGUGUGUGUGUGUGUGUGUGUGUGUGUGUGUGUGUGUGUGUGUGUGUGUGUGUGUGUG